rnacentral:lncRNA from 1 species
CCGCCGACCUCAAGGAACACGUCAUUAAGCCGGUUAUCCCUGAGAAGUACAUCGACGAGAAGACCAUAUUCCACCUCAACCCAUCCGGCCGCUUCGUCAUCGGCGGCCCUCAUGGCGACGCUGGGCUCACCGGCCGCAAAAUCAUCAUCGACACCUACGGUGGGUGGGGAGCACACGGCGGUGGUGCCUUCUCUGGGAAGGAUCCCACCAAGGUGGACCGCAGUGGUGCUUACAUUGUGAGGCAGGCAGCCAAGAGCAUCGUGGCCAGUGGGCUCGCCCGCCGCUGCAUUGUGCAGGUGUCCUACGCCAUUGGCGUCCCUGAGCCACUGUCAGUGUUCGUGGAGACCUAUGGCACGGGCAAGAUCCCAGACAAGGAGAUCCUGAGGAUUGUGAAGGAGAACUUCGACUUCAGGCCUGGGAUGAUCACCAUCAACCUGGACCUGAAAAGGGGAGGGAAUGGCAGGUUCCUUAAGACUGCUGCUUAUGGGCAUUUUGGCAGGGAUGACCCAGACUUCACCUGGGAGGUUGUCAAGCCCCUCAAGUGGGAGAAACCUGCAGCCUAGGCUUCAUCCACCUAUCUUAAUGGUGAUAGAACUACAUUAUUUCCACCUACUUAUCAUGUUCUGGUUGAUCUUAUGAGCUGAGAAGACCAAGUAGAGAACUUUCGAAGCAUUAAGUUACCAU